AGCCGUGUGGUGAGCACAGAGCGAACUAUUCUUUCGCCUUUUACUAAAGAAUACCGUGUGCGCGCCACUCUUAGCGGCAUACGCCUAUAUUUGGAGAGGUGCUCGUAUUGAGUACCU